rnacentral:rRNA from 1 species
GACGAACGCUGGCGGCGUGCCUAAUACAUGCAAGUAGAACGCUGAAGAGAGGAGCUUGCUCUUCUUGGAUGAGUUGCGAACGGGUGAGUAACGCGUAGGUAACCUGCCUUAUAGCGGGGGAUAACUAUUGGAAACGAUAGCUAAUACCGCAUAACAAUGGAUGACACAUGUCAUUUAUUUGAAAGGGGCAAUUGCUCCACUACAAGAUGGACCUGCGUUGUAUUAGCUAGUAGGUGAGGUAACGGCUCACCUAGGCGACGAUACAUAGCCGACCCGAGAGGGUGAUCGGCCACACUGGGACUGAGACACGGCCCAGACUCCUACGGGAGGCAGCAGUAGGGAAUCUUCGGCAAUGGGGGCAACCCUGACCGAGCAACGCCGCGUGAGUGAAGAAGGUUUUCGGAUCGUAAAGCUCUGUUGUAAGUCAAGAACGAGUGUGAGAGUGGAAAGUUCACACUGUGACGGUAGCUUACCAGAAAGGGACGGCUAACUACGUGCCAGCAGCCGCGGUAAUACGUAGGUCCCGAGCGUUGUCCGGAUUUAUUGGGCGUAAAGCGAGCGCAGGCGGUUUGAUAAGUCUGAAGUUAAAGGCUGUGGCUCAACCAUAGUUUGCUUUGGAAACUGUCAAACUUGAGUGCAGAAGGGGAGAGUGGAAUUCCAUGUGUAGCGGUGAAAUGCGUAGAUAUAUGGAGGAACACCGGUGGCGAAAGCGGCUCUCUGGUCUGUAACUGACGCUGAGGCUCGAAAGCGUGGGGAGCGAACAGGAUUAGAUACCCUGGUAGUCCACGCCGUAAACGAUGAGUGCUAGGUGUUGGAUCCUUUCCGGGAUUCAGUGCCGCAGCUAACGCAUUAAGCACUCCGCCUGGGGAGUACGACCGCAAGGUUGAAACUCAAAGGAAUUGACGGGGGCCCGCACAAGCGGUGGAGCAUGUGGUUUAAUUCGAAGCAACGCGAAGAACCUUACCAGGUCUUGACAUCCCGAUGCUAUUUCUAGAGAUAGAAAGUUACUUCGGUACAUCGGUGACAGGUGGUGCAUGGUUGUCGUCAGCUCGUGUCGUGAGAUGUUGGGUUAAGUCCCGCAACGAGCGCAACCCCUAUUGUUAGUUGCCAUCAUUCAGUUGGGCACUCUAGCGAGACUGCCGGUAAUAAACCGGAGGAAGGUGGGGAUGACGUCAAAUCAUCAUGCCCCUUAUGACCUGGGCUACACACGUGCUACAAUGGUUGGUACAACGAGUUGCAAGUCGGUGACGGCAAGCUAAUCUCUUAAAGCCAAUCUCAGUUCGGAUUGUAGGCUGCAACUCGCCUACAUGAAGUCGGAAUCGCUAGUAAUCGCGGAUCAGCACGCCGCGGUGAAUACGUUCCCGGGCCU